UACGUAGGGGGCAAGCGUUAUCCGGAAUUACUGGGUGUAAAGGGUGAGUAGGCGGCAUGGUAAGCCAGAUGUGAAAGCCUUGGGCUUAACCCGAGGAUUGCAUUUGGAACUAUCAAGCUAGAGUACAGGAGAGGAAAGCGGAAUUCCUAGUGUAGCGGUGAAAUGCGUAGAUAUUAGGAAGAACACCAGUGGCGAAGGCGGCUUUCUGGACUGAAACUGACGGUGAGGCGCGAAAGCGUGGGGAGCAAACAGG
rnacentral:rRNA from 1 species